rnacentral:misc_RNA from 1 species
UGGUUCUGGCAUCGAUGAAGAACGCAGCGAAAUGCGAUAAGUAAUGUGAAUUGCAGAAUUCAGUGAAUCAUCGAAUCUUUGAACGCACAUUGCGCCCUCUGGUAUUCCGGAGGGCAUGCCUGUUCGAGCGUCAUUUCAACCCUCAAGCCUGGCUUGGUGUUGGGGCACUGCUUUUUCCGAAAAGCAGGCCCUGAAAUAUAGUGGCGAGCUCGCCAGGACUCCGAGCGUAGUAGUUAAACCCUCGCUUUGGAAGGCCUGGCGGUGCCCUGCCGUUAAACCCCAACUCUUGAAAAUUUGACCUCGGAUCAGGUAGGAAUACCCGCUGA